CCUACGGGUGGCUGCAGUGAGGAAUCUUGCACAAUGGGCGAAAGCCUGAUGCAGCGACGCCGCGUGAGGGACGAAGGCCUUCGGGUUGUAAACCUCUGUCAGUGGGGAAGAAGAAUGACGGUACCCACUGAGGAAGCUUCGGCUAACUACGUGCCAGCAGCCGCGGUAAUACGUAGGGAGCAAGCGUUGCCCGGAAUUACUGGGCGUAAAGAGCUCGUAGGCGGGGGCGUGCGUCCGAGAAGAAAUCUUACGGCUCAACCGUAGGGCUAUCUCGG
rnacentral:rRNA from 1 species